rnacentral:rRNA from 1 species
UUCCCAGACUCCUACGGGAGGCAGCAGUGGGGGAUAUUGCACAAUGGGGGGAACCCUGAUGCAGCGACGCCGCGUGAGUGAAGAAGUAUUUCGGUAUGUAAAGCUCUAUCAGCAGGGAAGAAGAAGGACGGUACCUGACUAAGAAGCCCCGGCUAACUACGUGCCAGCAGCCGCGGUAAUACGUAGGGGGCGAGCGUUGUCCGGAUUUACUGGGUGUAAAGGGCGUGCAGCCGGGCUGACAAGUCAGAUGUGAAAUCCGUGGGCUUAACCCGCGAACUGCAUUUGAAACUAUUGGUCUUGAGUGCCGGAGAGGUAAUCGGAAUUCCUUGUGUAGCGGUGAAAUGCGUAGAUAUAAGGAAGAACACCAGUGGCGAAGGCGGAUUACUGGACGGUAACUGACGGUGAGGCGCGAAAGCGUGGGGAGCAAACAGGAUUAGAUACCCCAGUAA